UUGAAAACAUCCGGGGCUUAAGCCCGGGGGGGAGCACCAUCCUGACUACUUCGUGCUACGGUAUCUUAAUUGAUGAAUUAAUUAAUUGAUUAAUUAAUUAAGGGCGCCCCCAACACAUAGGUCGCCUAUCAGCACCAUCAGCAAAAAAGAGACAUUAGAAUAGCCUAUAUAGCCUGCAUGCACCUACCCGAUGUCAAGAAGCCAUCGCUGCUCCGACGGACCUUUUUCCCCCAGCCAGGCAACGGCAAUGCCAGCGCCCGCAUUGCAAGGAGAGGGAUAUUACGUAAAUUCGCAGGAGGCGGGAUAAGUGCGGCCGCUGUCACUCAGCACGGAGGCAGAACAGACCGCAGAAGUCAACGCGAUCGUCUUCAAUGUUGCUGCAACAAUGCAGCAUAUAUUCAAAAGAGCAGCCAGUACUUACGUAGAUCCGGGGCUGAUCCCAAAAGAUCCGGGGCUAUAGCCCCGAAUGCCCAGGUCUAACGACGCGCCUGCUCC
ensembl:lncRNA